AGAGGAGAGAGAUGAAAUAUGAUAAGAGUCUGUCUAGAUAGCCAAGGAUGACUUGCCUGUGGCCUCUUGGAGAGAGAGGUGUAGCUUAAUUAGCAGCAUGGUUUGAGCAUUGCUUGAUCGGUUGAUCGCUUCGCUUGCUCUGCAUGAGAUCUUACAGGCAGUCUCCUUGGCUAGUCUGGGCGGCUCUUAUCCGUUC
rnacentral:pre_miRNA from 1 species